CGAAAGAGCCACCUGUGUUACAUAAACUACUGAAUGGAAUGAAAUAUAUAUCAAACCAAACCAAAUAUAUUUCCAUUUGAACAGAACCGUUACCGUGGCAAACUUGGUCCAUUUUAGACCCAUACCACGUAAAAUGAACAAGCCCCCAAAUACUAUUUGAUACUACACAGUAGAUGGCGAUAAUGCUCUAUUAAGAAAGCAAUCUUCCAAUCAGCUCAAAGUAGAAAGUUUUCUCAGCCGCUGGAUGUCGCUGUACGAGCAGGUCUGCGUGUGAAUAUCAGCCGAAGAAAAGACAACAAUGGCGGCGACCUGCUCGUGGAAGUUAGACAAAGAAACGGGGCAGGAUGCGCUUAUCGGUCACAGGUCUGCUAGACGAAGGCUACUGAUCCUGAUGUGGUGGGCUUGAGGUGGCCACUGUCUUCACAAUGAACCCAGUAGUUGGAAUCAGUUCACAAAAAUCCAAAGCUUCCUGAUACAUACACACAUACAUACGGUACAGUAAUCGUGGUAGCAGACUUACCAUCAGUCAGCUGGAAACCAAAGGGCUCUGCAACAAAGUGUGGUUUGGGAUCAGCUGGCUCUGGAUUCGGCUCCGAGUUCUCUUGUAGAGGCACAAAUGGCUCAACUCUGGUC